GAAAGGUGCUUCCUGCUUUCAUGCUGUUGGUUGAAAUGUUUGUAAUCUGACUUAGAAACAGAAACAGCUGCCCCCAAUCACUUUCCUCCUAAAUGCUGCUGGGAAAACAUUUUGUGCUCCUGCGAUUCAGAGAACUCUGGACCUGGAGUGACUUUAAAAACGUCCACUGUGUGAGGACAUUACAGGACAGGGAGGGAGCAGAGGAGUCGAUAGACAUUUUGUUGGCUCAAACACCACUGGGGUCUUUACAGGGAGGGAGUGACGUGAAAAUGUGCAAAUGUACUAAUACUGAAUCAACAUGGAUAAACAGGAACUGGCUGGAAACACAACCCAGAUCAGAAUCUGUGCUUUCAGUCUGCGGUCGCUAUCCGCACCGCACGCUUCCAGCUGGAGGGGAAAAGGAGGAACUCUUUAGAUGUGGCACACACUGAGCCUAUCAGCAGCCAGCUGUGCAACACCACUGAUAUCCACCGACUUCCUUUUACACACUUUGGAAAGUUUUGCUAUGGACAGUUUCCAGUAACACAGAGAACACGGUCAUUUCCUUGUGGUCAGGGAAUCAUUCCAGAAUAAAAUUAAG